ACAGCUAGGAGGUUGGCUUAGAAGCAGCCACCCUUUAAAGAAAGCGUAAUAGCUCACUAGUCGAGUCGGCCUGCGCGGAAGAUGUAACGGGGCUCAAACCAUACACCGAAGCUACGGGUAUCAUCUUCGGAUGAUGCGGUAGAGGAGCGUUCUGUAAGCCUGUGAAGGUGAGUUGAGAAGCUUGCUGGAGGUAUCAGAAGUGCGAAUGCUGACAUGAGUAACGACAAUGGGUGUGAAAAACACCCACGCCGAAAGACCAAGGUUUCCUGCGCAACGUUAAUCGACGCAGGGUUAGUCGGUCCCUAAGGCGAGGCUGAAAAGCGUAGUCGAUGGAAAACAGGUUAAUAUUCCUGUACUUCUGGUUAUUGCGAUGGAGGGACGGAGAAGGCUAGGCCAGCUUGGCGUUGGUUGUCCAAGUUUAAGGUGGUAGGCUGGAAUCUUAGGUAAAUCCGGGAUUCUAAGGCCGAGAGCUGAUGACGAGUCAUCUUUUAGAUGACGAAGUGGUUGAUGCCAUGCUUCCAAGAAAAGCUUCUAAGCUUCAGGUAACCAGGAACCGUACCCCAAACCGACACAGGUGGUUGGGUAGAGAAUACCAAGGCGCUUGAGAGAACUCGGGUGAAGG
rnacentral:rRNA from 1 species